rnacentral:tRNA from 1 species
GGAGAGGUUCCCGAGUGGCUAAAGGGGACGGGCUGUAAACCCGUUGGCGAUGCCUACGGAGGUUCGAAUCCUCCCCUCUCCACCA